GCCGGGCUUUGUUGCCGGGGCCGUGGGUGCCGGGGCCCGCCGAUCCCCUCCGGCCGGGGCAGGGCAGGCCCGUGCCGGCCACGCCAGGCUAACUACACAGCCCUGGAGACUGAACCCUCAGACUAUCCACAGACCAUGGCAGCAUAGAGGAAAAGAAGCAUCUUUCCGGCACUCUCCAGAGCAGUGCAUGAAGCCCAGGAAUGUCUUCUCCCAAAGGCAGUGAGGAAACCUGGGUACCAAGAGGAAAAAUUGUAUGUUUUUUUGUGCCUGUGACACACCUGCCCAAACACGCUCCAGGUUUUUUUCAGCAGUAUGAACUGAAGGUGUUAUUUUCUUACAGUAUGAGGGUGUCACACUGUGAGUUCAGCAGCACUGGUGUAAAAGUGAGGCAUUCACUGGGGUACAAACUAUGUUGGGAUCAAAUUCUGUACUUUUCAGCCUGUUCUGAAAAUAAACAGUCCCUGAGUACUGCUGGCCUUCUUUUUCCAGA